AGCUUCAGCAAAGUUUCUAACAACUGAGUUUUCUUAAGUUUUCCUCCCUUUCUCUUCUCUAUGUGCUGAGUCUGAGUGUUAUCCUCAAUUGUACCUUCUCUUUGCUUUCUGUCUCAGACUUUUUAAAAAACGUGCCCUUAAGUUUUGCCCUGUGGGGGUUCUCCUUUAAUGAGGGACAUGAAACCUAAGUUGUGGUUCUUUCAAAAAUGUCCACUGUGCAGAGAAAUCUUGUCCACUUUCACCUCCCUAAAUUGCACAGUCCUGCUCAAAGCAACAUUUAAAGACCAGACUGUUAUUACCUGGUUAGAUCCUUUUUACUGUAGUUUAUCUCUGCUCUGCCUUUUCUCAGAGACUGAGUCCCAUAAACUUUGCUACAUAUUUCCUUGUAUGAAAUUAUUUCUUGUUUUUUACAAAAGUUGAGUCACCCUGAAACUUACUGAAUGAUUCUUGGAAUAUAUGAUGCUGGUCUUUCUUAUAUUCUCCAUUCAGUCCAAAUUUCGUGAAAUCACUUCCUUCAAUUGCCCUUCUCUUUAAUAGUGAUUCGUAUCUUUUAUUAUUAUUAUGCAAUUUACAUGGUGGCUUACAGCACUAGCAACACACAUUGCAUCUAUAAUAUGAUUUAUAGAGGAUAACUUAAAAGAGUAACAGAACUUAAAUGACCCAACCAAGCCACCAUAACUAUGGGAUAUCUAUUCAAUUGAAAGGACGUACUUGAGCACAGAAGAACUGGAAGAUAAGAGUAGAGGAAAACUUGCCAUCACUUUAAAAAAACAUGUAUAGGCUUGUAAAAAGGAGUUGUUUGCAAUGGUAUAUUACUCAGCAAUAAAAGAGAAUAAAAUCAUGGCAUUUGCAGGUAAAUAGAUGGUGUUGGAGAAGAUAAUACUAAGUGAAGUUAGCCAAUCCCAAAAAAAUAAAUGCUGAAUGCUUUCUCUGAUAUAAGGUGACUGACUCAUAGUGGGGUAGGGAGUGGGAGCAUGGGAGGAAUAGACGGACUCUAGAUACGGCAGAGGGGUGGGAAACAAAGGGAAGGGGCAAGGAGUUAGCAAUGAUGGUGGAAUGAUGGACAUCAUUAUCCAAAGUAUAUGCAUGUAGACAUGAAUUGGUGUGAACAUACUUUAUAUAUAACCAGAGAUAUGAAAAAUUGUGCUCUAUAUGUAUAAUAAGAAUUGUGAUGCAUUCCGCU
rnacentral:lncRNA from 1 species